rnacentral:ribozyme from 11 species
ACUCACUCUGGAGGAGAGAAAGAAGAAAAAGAGGAAAAUGAAUGAAUGAAUGAAUGAAACGUUCGAUCAUGUCAACGCAAUAAAUAUUCAGAAGCGGCUGGCCAGUCCGUGUCCUUCUUGCUUCCCUAUGGCUCUCUCUCUCUCUCGUUAGGUUCUUUCCACACCAACAAGACAGACAGAAAGACCCAACCGACCGGUUUAA